GAGUUGAUAUAAUAAGACAAAAAAAAAAAAAUGGAAAAGAGAACACAAGGGAUUGCCAAGAGAACUGAGUUGUUCUUCUUCUUCCUACCCCUUGUCCCCCCCUACUAGUAUUAAAUGUCCAAGUCUCCAAUGUCGCCGCUCUUUUUACAUUUGUAUCAAACUCAUUGCAAUCGCAGCCUACCUUUUUGACAAAAUACUCUCUCUCUCUCUCUCUCUCUCUGUCUCCCUAAACUGUUCCAGCUGACUUGUUUACCACUGUAUGAUCAACACUUUCCUGUUCUUCUUCCUUUGUCACAGCUCUCCCAUCUGGAAUUCCAUUACAAUCUUGUCUUUGAGUCUUCCCAUCCAAUUUCUCUUUUGGAGAAGCACAUGUAACAGGAUUUGAUUUCCCUGUUCCGUCCUCCUUCUCUGGCAGUGAUGUUGUCUCCACAGGAAGGUUUAUUUCAGUUGUAGUCAAUGGUAUCUGGGGAGAUGAUGCGUUACCAGAACCUGGUGGAGGAAGGAAAAC
rnacentral:misc_RNA from 1 species